GCCUAACACAUGCAGUCGAACGAAGUAGCAAUACUUAGUGGCAGACGGGUGAGUAACAUGUAGGUAUCUGCCCUUUGGCCUGGAAUAACACGAGGAAACUUGUGCUAAUACCGGAUAAGUCUUUACGGAGAAAGCUUUAUGCACCAUUGGAUGAGCCUGCACUUGAUUAGUUUGUUGGUGGGGUAAUGGCCUACCAAGACUGUGAUCAAUAGCUGAUUUGAGAGGAUGAUCAGCCACAUUGGGACUGAGACACGGCCCAAACUCCUACGGGAGGCAGCAGUGGGGAAUCUUGCACAAUGGAGGAAACUCUGAUGCAGCGAUGCCGCGUGAGUGAAGAAGGCCCUUGGGUUGUAAAGCGCUUUCGUCGGGGAAGAAAAUGACUGUACCCGAAUAAGAAGGUCCGGCUAACUUCGUGCCAGCAGCCGCGGUAAUACGAAGGGACCCAGCGUAGUUCGGAAUUACUGGGCUUAAAGAGUUCGUAGGUGGUUGAAAAAGUUGGUGGUGAAAUCCCAGAGCUUAACUCUGGAACUGCCAUCAAAACUUUUCAGCUAGAGUUUGAUAGAGGAAAGCAGAAUUUCUAGUGUAGAGGUGAAAUUCGUAGAUAUUAGAAAGAAUACCAAUUGCGAAGGCAGCUUUCUGGAUCAUUACUGACACUGUGGAACGAAAGCAUGGGUAGCGAAGAGGAUUAGAUACCCUCGUAGUCCAUGCCGUAAACGAUGUGUGUUAGACGUUGGAGAUUUAUUUUCAGUGUCGCAGCAAAAGCGAUAAACACACCGCCUGGGGAGUACGACCGCAAGGUUAAAACUCAAAUGAAUUGACGGGGACCCGCACAAGUAGUGGAGCAUGUGGUUUAAUUCGAAGAUACGCGCAGAACCUUACCAACACUUGACGUGUUCGUCGCGACU
rnacentral:rRNA from 1 species